rnacentral:rRNA from 1 species
UACGAAGGGUGCAAGCGUUACUCGGAAUUACUGGGCGUAAAGGGCUCGUAGGCGGCCAACUAAGUCAUACGUGAAAUCCCUCGGCUUAACCGGGGAACUGCGUCUGAUACUGGAUGGCUUGAGUUCGGGAGAGGGAUGCGGAAUUCCAGGUGUAGCGGUGAAAUGCGUAGAUAUCUGGAGGAACACCGGUGGCGAAGGCGGCAUCCUGGACCAACACUGACACUGAGGAGCGAAAGCCAGGGGAGCAAACGGG